GGAAGGGUUACGAGUAGAGCGUAUACCUUUACGGAGGGCAAUAGGCAGUUCAGACUCAUUUGCUGGAGCUGGAGGAGACACAGGAGGCGGCACAGGAGGUGAGUCAUGAGGGAGACGAUUGCGGCGACUAUAAACCUGGAUGGGUGGAGUUGAAGGACGAUCCUGUGUGGAAUGAGAGUCUAAAGGAUCACAGACAAUAGGAAUAUCAACAGUGGUAGGUGAAGGUACANAACUAGAAGAUGGUUGUGAAAAAUAAAACGAAGAUUCAUCAAAAGUGACAUCAGCAGAGAUAAAAUGACGAUUGAGAGAAGGAGAAAAACACUUAUAGCCCUUUUGUGACCGUGGAAAUCCUAAGAAGACACAUUUGUGAGAUCUAGGAGAUAACUUA
rnacentral:lncRNA from 1 species